AGGACGAACGCUGGCGGCGUGCUUAACACAUGCAAGUCGAGCGAGGCCCUUCCUUCGGGAAGGUGCCCUAGCGGCGAACGGGUGAGUAACACGUGGGCAACCUGCCCCUAGCACUGGGAUAACUCCGGGAAACCGGGGCUAAUACCGGAUAUGACCUCUGAGGGCAUCCUCGAAGGUGUAAAGGAUUCUGGCUAGGGAUGGGCCCGCGGCCUAUCAGCUUGUUGGUGGGGUAACGGCCUACCAAGGCGACGACGGGUAGCCGGCCUGAGAGGGCGACCGGCCACACUGGGACUGAGACACGGCCCAGACUCCUACGGGAGGCAGCAGUGGGGAAUAUUGCACAAUGGGCGAAAGCCUGAUGCAGCGACGCCGCGUGAGGGAUGACGGCCUUCGGGUUGUAAACCUCUUUCGACAGGGACGAUAAUGACGGUACCUGUAGAAGAAGCACCGGCCAACUAUGCGCCAGCAGCCGC
rnacentral:rRNA from 1 species